rnacentral:ncRNA from 1 species
GAGAGCCCGGUGCGGUGAAAGUCGCACGCCGGGUUCGGCGAGCGGCCUGGGGAAACGGACCGGCGGCAACGCCGACACCGCGCCCCAGGCCGACUCAAC